AUCAAUACAAUCAGAGUAAAAGUGGCGCCAAACAGGCAACUGCAUCGUAGUUCUGCGACCCGGAUCGUUUUCGGAAUUCCCCUCUACCGAACCACCGCCGCAGGCGGCAGACGAUACGUUCGUCUGGGACAAAUUUGGCCUAUGCUGUGGGCCUAUGUUACGAGAGAACGGAGCAUAGUUAAAUCCUUGAGAAAGGCACAAUAUAGUGACCGAAACGUCGGAUGAAGACUUAACAAUCCGUUUUUGAGUUUUCUUCCAAGACUGAAAGCCAUAACCUCAAAAC